rnacentral:rRNA from 1 species
GGAUGAACGCUGGCGGCGUGCUUAAUACAUGCAAGUCGAACGGAGACUGUAGCAAUACUGUCUUAGUGGCGAACGGGUGAGUAACGCGUUGGUGACCUGCCCCGAAGAGGGGGAUAACAGUCCGAAAGGAUUGCUAAUACCCCAUGUGGUCAUUUGGAUUAGAUGCCUUAUGACUAAACGGAUUUAUUCGCUUCGGGAGGGGCCUGCGUCCCAUCAGCUAGUUGGUAGGGUAAUAGCCUACCAAGGCGAUGACGGGUAGGGGACCUGAGAGGGUGGCCCCCCACAAUGGAACUGAAACACGGUCCAUACACCUACGGGUGGCAGCAGUAGGGAAUAUUGGUAAUCUGGGAAACCGGGAACCAGCAACGCCGCGUGCGCGAUGAAGGCCUUCGGGUUGUAAAGCGCUUUUUAAAGGGAUGAGGAAGGACAGUACCUUUAGAAUAAGCCUCGGCUAACUACGUGCCAGCAGCCGCGGUAAAACGUAGGAGGCGAGCGUUAUCCGGAUUUACUGGGCGUAAAGCGUGUGCAGGCGGUUUGAUAAGUUGGAUGUGAAAGCUCCUGGCUUAACCGGGAGAGGUCGUUCAAAACUAUCAGACUAGAGAGUGGUAGAGGGAGAUGGAAUUCCGCGUGUAGUGGUGAAAUGCGUAGAUAUGCGGAGGAACACCAGUGGCGAAAGCGAUCUCCUGGCCCAUUUCUGACGCUCAGACACGAAAGCUAAGGUAGCAAACGGGAUUAGAGACCCCGGUAGUCUUAGCUGUAAACGAUGUGAACUUAGUGUCGGUGGGGUUAAAUCCAUCGGUACUGAAGCUAACGCGAUAAGUUCACCGCCUGGGGACUACGGCCGCAAGACUGAAACUCAAAGGAAUUGACGGGGGCCCGCACAAGCGGUGGAGCACGUGGUUUAAUUCGAUGCAAACCGAAGAACCUUACCUGGGUUUGACAUGCAGGUGGUAGUGAAAUGAAAGUGGAACGACUCUGCAGUAAUGCAGGGAGCCUGCACAGGUGCUGCAUGGCUGUCGUCAGCUCGUGUCGUGAGAUGUUGGGUUAAGUCCCGCAACGAGCGCAACCCCUAUUGCCAGUUGCUAACAGGAGAGCUGAGCACUCUGGCGAGACUGCCGCCGACAAGGCGGAGGAAGGUGGGGAUGACGUCAAGUCAUCAUGGCCUUUAUGCCCAGGGCUACACACGUGCUACAAUGGCCGGCACAGACGGCAGCUUAGUGGCGACACUUGGCCAAUCCUCCAAAGCCGGUCCCAGUUCGGAUUGCAGUCUGCAACUCGACUGCAUGAAGUCGGAAUCGCUAGUAAUCGCAGAUCAGCAAAGCUGCGGUGAAUACGUUCCCGGGCCU